AUAAUGAUCUCCAAUAACCACUUUUUUUAGAAAAAAACAGCAAACAUCCUGCAAAUCGGUUCCAAAAGAUAGGGGAGUCAAUCUGCUUGUGUUGUGCCAUCAUUUUACCAUGAGCUAUAUCCAUAAUGGGUGGCACCAUCUAUGCUUCCCAUAGUGGGCAGAUAGAAGUAAUUCAGUAUAGCAGUCAGAAUUACCAUAUGAAUAUUACUUGAUUUAUCGCCAUGGAAGGAAAAAUGGAAAAGGUCCAGAAUUGAGUAACCAAUUAGGUGAUUGAGAGGGAAAAGAGAGUUGGUCGUCACAUGAUGUUGUUACGUGAUGAGAUCAUUUUUAUUGAAUUCUUUUCCUUCUUGUAUGUCAUUUUUAUUGAACAUGAUGUCUAAAGAAGAAAGCCAUGGGAAAAAGGGCAAGGGCCCCUCAUAAAUUGGUUAUGGUUAGCACUCUUUUUUAGGUUCAUUAAGGUAAAGUGGGUAAAGGGGUGAGAUAUAGAAGAACUCGCCACCUUGUCUGCAUGGUGGUGGCGUGGGCAUGAUAAUAUUCAUUUUGUCUUGCUUUGGACCACUGCCAUCUGUUGUUGUUUAUUGCAAUCUUUUUUCUUUCUUCUUAUAAUAUGCAAGAAUAACCAUCAGCUCACUAUAGAAGCGACGAGAUAAAUAUAUGCUUGGCUGCUCUAUAUAUUUACACACUCCUCUUUCUCUUCUCCAAGAUCCUAAAGAAAGAAAAUCCGUUUUUCCCUCUGAUUUUCUCUCUAUCCCCCAUAUUAACAUAAAAGAAGCUGAAUAUUGUGAAUCUGUAUAUAUAUAUAUAUGUUCAUCGUGCACCACUAGCAGUUAAAGCUGCCAGCAUGAUCUAAAUUCUCUUUCUCCAUCAAAAUAGAAGGAUAGAUUAGAUCAUGUGGUAGCUUCACCUGUUGAUGGCACCACGACCAAUACCUUAUUUUUAGUGUUUAACUCUAAAUUACUCUUCUGCAGCUUCCCGAUUCUUUCUUGUUAUGCAGUAUAUCUGCUCAACUGGGUUUGCCCAUCUCUACAAGCAUAACGAUGUUCUGGCCUGAGUCUCAUAUUUCAUUGGUAAAACUUCUUAUUCCAUGAGGCAAACCAAAAAUAAACAAAUGAAUAGUUAGUUUCGUAGUAAUUAUAAGAAUAUGUUGGGACAAUCUUAUCAGCAAGAAGAUGUCACUGCUAGGGUUUUGAGAGGCAGAAUUUCCCACAUCAUAGCCUGGUUGCUGCUUUUGAGAAAUCCAAAAUCUUAUCCUUCAUGCAUAGAGCCUCUCCAUUCUAGGAAUUGAUCCUUUUCUUCUUUAAGUUUAUAACGGUUUUUAUAUGGUUUUGGACCAUAGUUUUAUUUAAUAGAGCUCUAUUUUAAAGAGUGUAUUAUGUAUAUUGUUGUUUAGUGUUUGAUGUGAUGAUAUAGAAGUAGCAAAAAGUGAAAAAGGAAAAGAUGGGAAUAAAAAAGCACUUGAAUCUUUUUGGCA